AUUGAACGCUGGCGGAAUGCUUUACACAUGCAAGUCGAACGGCAGCACGGACUUCGGUCUGGUGGCGAGUGGCGAACGGGUGAGUAAUGUAUCGGAACGUGCCCAGUCGUGGGGGAUAACGUAGUGAAAAUUACGCUAAUACCGCAUACGAUCUAUGGAUGAAAGCGGGGGAUCGCAAGACCUCGCGCGAUUGGAGCGGCCGAUAUCAGAUUAGGUAGUUGGUGGGGUAAAGGCCCACCAAGCCAACGAUCUGUAGCUGGUCUGAGAGGACGACCAGCCACCCUGGAACUGAGACACGGUCCAGACUCCUACGAGAGGCAGCAGUGGGGAAUUGUGGACAAUGGGCGAAAGCCUGAUCCAGCCAUUCCGAGUGCAGGAUGAAGGCCCUCGGGUUGUAAACUGCUUUUGUACAGAACGAAAAGGUUUCUACUAAUACUAGGAGCUCAUGACGGUACUGUAAGAAUAAGCACCGGCUAACUACGUGCCAGCCGCCGCCGUAA
rnacentral:rRNA from 1 species